UUUUUUUACUAAAAGUACUUGACGACAGUCUUUCAAGUUGGAUGAUGAAAAUGCAUAUCUUCGAAAAAAAAAAAAAUGUGUGUGAUAACUAAAGGUUUAUAGUCCUCAACCACUAAAAAAAUCUAGUCUGCCCUUCCACGAAAUAUUUAAUUAGAAUUUUUUUAAAUGUUUAUGAAUUUUCAAAAAUUCCACCUGACAACCGAUUAGACAAUAGUUUUAAAUUGAAUCAAUGCAGACAAGAUUAUUAACUGAUGCUCAUUAGCUAGUAGAUACAUUUGUCUUUUAAAACACAACUGACAUAUAAGGAUCGUAAUAGUG
rnacentral:lncRNA from 1 species